rnacentral:rRNA from 1 species
UACGUAGGUGGCAAGCGUUGUCCGGAUUUAUUGGGUUUAAAGGGUGUGUAGGCGGCCUUGUAAGUCAGUGCUGAAAUAUCCCGGCUUAACCGGGAGGGUGGCAUUGAUACUGCAGGGCUUGAGUAAAGUUGAGGUUGGCGGAAUUGACGGUGUAGCGGUGAAAUGCUUAGAUAUCGUCAAGAACACCGAUAGUGAAGACA